CCUACGGGAGGCAGCAGUGAGGAAUAUUGGUCAAUGGACGAGAGUCUGAACCAGCCAAGUAGCGUGAAGGAUGACUGCCCUAUGGGUUGUAAACUUCUUUUAUAUGGGAAUAAAACGUUCCACGUGUGGGAUUUUGUAUGUACCAUAUGAAUAAGGAUCGGCUAACUCCGUGCCAGCAGCCGUGGUAAUACGGAGGAUCCGAGCGUUAUCCGGAUUUAUUGGGUUUAAAGGGAGCGUAGGUGGAUUGUUAAGUCAGUUGUGAAAGUUUGCGGCUCAACCGUAAAAUUGCAGUUGAAACUGGCAGUCUUGAGUACAGUAGAGGUGGGCGGAAUUCGUGGUGUAGCGGUGAAAUGCUUAGAUAUCACGAAGAACUCCGAUUGCGAAGGCAGUUCACUGGACUGCAACUGACACUGAGGCUCGAAAGUGUGGGUAUCAAACAGGAUUAGAUACCCUAGUAGUC
rnacentral:rRNA from 1 species